AAUUUGAAAUCUUCUUUAAUUAUUUAAAGAAGAUUAAAGAAGAUUUAAUUAAAGAAGAAUGGCCAACCCUGAUGUUUGUUGAUGUUUUCAAUCUCCUGAUCUUUUGGAUUUACUGCGGAUUCUCAAAAAGUGUCUGUCAAUACCUUUAUACCUCCAACUCCAAGAAUAGUCACGAAUUGCGGAAAUAUAUAUAUGGAUUAAAUUCCAUGAUAUGGAAUAACUUCCAUGAUAUGUGGAACAAGUAUUGCCUGCAAUGGACAUGAAUGGCUAGCAUGACAAAAUUGCUUAAAGAAGGACAACUAAGCUUCAUCUUAUCUUACAGUUUUCAAGAACUUAAAAAAUAUUUAUCAUAAAUGGAAAGCAUUGUUUGGCCAUAGACCAACAUGAUUUUUAGAAACAGCUUUCAAAAGACACCGCUAGAGAACUGGCUAAUAUAUCUGGCAUGCCCUCGACUUCUCAAAUAUAAAGUAAACCAGAUAGAAGGUGGAGAUUGAAAGUCAAGUUUGUAAAAUACACAUUCUAAAACACGAAUUCAACCCAUCGAAUGGUUGCCAAACCAGAUACAAGAUUAUUGAGCGAGUUAUAGUGGAUGCUGAAACACUAUGAAAAAUAAAACAAACUAAGAAGACAGUACCAUUUUAAUUCGUUAUAUGAGAGGAGACAACCGUUGUAUUUCGAACUUAUUACUAUUUCGUCACCACAAAGUUGAUCUCAAAGAAAAGGAAAUGUUAUAAAGAAGAACUGUUGGCCAAAUUGUUAACUUCAACCGCUAAGAAUUUUUGGCGAUGUAGACGUAUGAUUCUAAGGCUCGUGAUGGGAAAUAGAAGAAAGUGGGGCACUCCAAAGUUGGCCAGACAAAUCAUUAAUAAUGAAAGAUAUUGUGGUGUUCGUUGUGGCAAUAUGUGUUCUUGGCAUUGCUGGAAAUACUCUCGUGAUCGCUUCAAUUUUAAAACAAAAGAUUCUGUUAAAGAAGAACUACUACUUUCUUGUCUUGCAUCUUGCAAUAUGUGACUCAUUUGUACUAUUGAGUAUAUUUCUCUUUGAAAUCUUUGAACACCAUUUGAAAAGCAAUCCAAUUAUGUUAAACUGCUCAUAUAUAAGUGGCAUAGAUACUUUUUUUCAAAUAAGUGGAGUUUCUAUGAUGUUGAUCAUUUCAGUUCUACGUUAUCGUGCGAUAGUUCAUCCAUUGAAACCUUCCUUCACUCGACAAAAGAUAAAAA